UUUCCUUGAUGACGACUGGCGCACGGGUGAGUAACGCGUAUCCAACCUUCCCAUAACUACGGGAUAACCCGUUGAAAGACGGCCUAAUACCGUAUGACAUCGUUUGCUGACAUCAAAUAACGAUUAAAGGUUUAGCGGUUAUGGAUGGGGAUGCGUCUGAUUAGCUUGUUGGCGGGGUAACGGCCCACCAAGGCUACGAUCAGUAGGGGUUCUGAGAGGAAGGUCCCCCACAUUGGAACUGAGACACGGUCCAAACUCCUACGGGAGGCAGCAGUG
rnacentral:rRNA from 1 species